CAGAGAGAUUCUGCAAUGCAGACUCCUCUGCUCCUGACAAGCCAGGCUGGCUGGCUCUAGGCACUUGGGCCCAAAAUACAAAGAGAAUCCUCCACCUGCAGCAGUCGUGAGAGCGCCUUGAUCACAGGCUUCGGCUUUUUCGGGGUUCCUUGGAAGAUUUGAGAAGGAGAGGGGGAGAAACAGCACCACGACGCCCACAGCGAGCCAUCUCUGCUCCCCGCAGAAGAGAGCGACGCUUUUGAUGCGGAAUUUUCUUCCAUUGGAGUCUGUCUGUUAGUGUCACCUCCAGUGGCCCGAUACCUGAUUUGUUCCCAUUUGCAGCUGUUUUCCUGGAAACGUGUAGUCGAAGGCUUUCAUGGCCGGAAUCUCUGGGUUGCUGUGAGUGUUCCUUGAUGGUAGUACUUCCUUAUUCCUUUCUGUAUGCUGCUGGCAAAUUUUAUGAUGUCGUAAAUUACUUUAUAUACUCUAGUUUUUCAGCCCUUUUUUAAAAACUGAAAAAGCCCCCCUUGGCCUAUACUCAAGUGAGGGUCCUGGUGGGCUUAUAUUUGGCGUGUGGAUUCCGGGGAGUGAUUUCAGGACUGUCCGGGUGUUGCUAAACAUUGUUUCUGGGCAUCGCUGCCCUCAUCCCAGUGAUAGGACUGGUGCUAACUGGUUGCCGUCAUGCUAAUUCACCCUUAGUUUUAAAAAAGAGGACCAAGAUGCAAAAAGUAGUCAGAUGUAUGGAUCCAGCACCACGGACAGCGCUUUUAAACUCAGUCCUUACUUGGCUAUGGGCCUCAACAAAACUACAGUAGAGUCUCACUUAUCCAACAUAAACGGGCCAGCAGAACGUUGGAUAGGCUAAUAUGUUGGAUAAUAAGGAGAGAUUAAGGAAAAGCCUAUUAAACAUUAAAUUAGGUUAUGAUUUUACAAAUUAAGCACCAAAACAUCAUGUUAGACAACAAAUUUGGCAGAAAAAGUAGUUCAAUACGCAGUAAUGCUAUGUAGUAAUUACUGUAUUUACAAAUUUAGUACCAAAAUAUCACGAUAUAUUGAAAACAUUGACUACAAAAAUGUGUUGGAUUAUCCAGAACGUUGGAUAAGCGAGUGUUGGAUAAGUGAGACUCUACUGUAGUACUUCCUUAUUCCUUUCUGUAUGCUGCUGGCAAAUUUUAUGACGUCGUAAAUCACUUUAUAUACUCGAGUAUAAGCCUAGUUUUUCAGCCCUUUUUUUAAGACUGAAAAAGCCCCCCUUGGCUUAUACUCGAGUGUCCUGGUGGGCUUAUAUUUGGCGUGUGGAUUCCGGGGAGUGAUUUCAGGACUGUCCGGGUGUUGCUAAACAUUGUUUCUGGGCAUUGCUGCCCUCAUCCCAGUGAUAGGACUGGUGCUAACUGGUUGCCGUCAUGGUAAUUCACCCUUAGUUUUAAAAAAGAGGACCAAGAUGCAAUAAGUAGUCAGAUGUAUGGAUCCAGCACCACGGACAGCACUUUUAAACUCAGUCCUUACUUGGCUAUAGGCCUCAACAAAACUACAGUAGAGUCUCACUUAUCCAACAUAAACGGGCCGGCAGAACAUUGGAUAAGCGAAUAUGUUGGAUAAUAAGGAGGGAUUAAGGAAAAGCCUAUUAAACAUCAAAUUAAGUUAUGAUUUUUAUAAAUUAAGCACCAAAACAUCAGGUUAUACAACAAAUUUGGCAGAAAAAGUAGUUCAAUACAUGGUAAUGCUAUGUAGUAAUUACUGUAUUUACGAAUUUAGUACCAAAAUAUCACGAUAUAUUAAAAACAUUGUCUACAAAAAUGUGUUGGAUAAUCCAGAAUGUUGGAUAAGCGAGUGUUGGAUAAGUGAGACUCUACUGUAAUAUUCAUGGUCUAGAAAACUAAAGAAGAGGACCAAGAUGCAAAAAGUAGUCAGAUGUAUGGAUCCAGCACCAUGGACAGCUCUUUUAAACUCAGCACUUACUUGGCUAUAUGCCAAUGAUGGGCAACCUUUUGCGCUUGGUGUGUCAAAAUUCACCAAAAAAACCUAGCAUGACUUGGGUGGUGUGUCACUUCGAGAAAAAAAACCAUAAUUUCACAAUAUGUAUAGUUUAAAUAACAAAAAAUGUAUAAUUGUAAUAUAUAACUGUAUUGAAUAAAUCAAAAACUAUUUACGACCAUUA